CUUUACUACCAAACUUCUUUAACAUGUCUAUAUCCUGGACUUCUGGUCUGGUCCACUGCCAGGACCGGACAACUGGGAAUUGGAGGAGGAGGAAGGGCCGGAGCCACAGGCAUCAUGGAGCCAGUGGGCUCUAAGGAAGAGAACAGAACCAAGAUACAUUGCUGAAAGCUCUUCCUCCCCUCCGGUGGGGGGGCGGGGGAAGUCCCACCAGGAUGAUCAAGCUGCCGGUCAACUCGUCAAGGGACUUGGAGCAAAGUCUUCCAGCUAUGGCUUCCUUGAGCACCUCUCUGCCCAGAAGCCAGAGCUUCCAGUCACCCUUCUUCCCGCCCCUCCCAGAGAAGCGCAGGACCAUUUCAGAUGUCCGCUGGACCUUCUGCUUCUUCGUCACCUUCGACCUGCUCUUCAUCUCUGCUCUGGAUCAUCGAGCUGAAUACAAAGACGGGCAUCAAGAAGAAUCUAGAGGAAGAGAUCAUCAACUACAACUUCAAAACCUCCUUCUUUGAUAUUUUUCUUCUAGCCUUCUUUCGGUUUUCAGGGCUGCUGCUGGGUGGGGGGGCCCUGCUUUUCCCUGGGACCUUGUGUGAAGGCCAGUUCUAUUCUCCUCCAGAGUCACUUGCAGGAUCUGACAAUGAAUCUGAUGAUGAAGGAGCUGGGAGAAAAGGCUUCUCCAGCCAGGAUCGGGAGUAUAUCCAGCAGGGGAAGGAAGCCAUGGAGGUGGUGGACCAGAUCCUGGCUCAAGAGGAGAAUUGGAAGUUUGAAAAGAAUAAUGAGUAUGGGGUCACAGUAUACACCAUUGAAAUUCCUUUCCACGGCAAGACAUUCAUCCUCAAGGCAUUCCUACAGUGUCCAGCAGAGCUGGUGUACCAGGAGGUGUGGUUUCCCCCAGGGACUUUGUGAAUGUCCGGGCGAAUCGAGAGGCGGAGGGACAGAUACCUCUCCUCAGGAAUCGCUACCACCCACUUUGCCAAGCCCCCAUUGCACAAAUAUGUCAGGGGUGAGAAUGGACCUGGUGGCUUCAUUGUUCUCAAGUCACCUAACAAUACUCGAGUCUGCACCUUUGUCUGGGUCCUCAACACAGAUCUCAAGGGCCGGUACCUUAUUCACCAGAGCCUGGCCGCCACCAUGUUUGAAUUUGCCUUCCACCUCCGCCAGCGGGUCGUGGAGUUACAUGCUCAAUCAUAGCAACCUCCAACCAUCACUAUCAACAAGGCAACAGGGCCAUCCGUCACUCCUAGAGACAUCAUCCUCUUCAGCCUGGACUACAAGCCUGCCCUGGGCAAGGGACUUGGGGGCUUUAGGGCUCCUCCCUUCUCCCGCCCCAGAGCCGGACUGUUCCUUGGGAGCCCCUGUGCCUCAAAGACCAGCUCUCAAGAGUGUUAUGGG
rnacentral:lncRNA from 1 species